AUCUUCUUGGACAUCCUGAGGAAGCAGACGGGUUGAACAUCAAUAUUCCCUUUCUGAUGUGGCAAAGAAUGGCUCAUGUCAUACAGUCUCAAGUUCGACGUGAUCUACUUCCGUUUCCAUUGUUGAUCACGAGGAUUCUUCAAGAACACGGAGUUGACGUGUCGUCUGAGAAGUAUGACAUUGGACUUGGACCGAUUGAUGCUGUAACCUAGGCCAAGUCAAGAAGCACACUGAAGACUUUUCAGCAAACUAAGGGAUCAUCCAGAGGAGCUUCUAGUUCAGCACCUCCACCUCGGGCAGAGCGUGAGGGAUCUUCAAGCUCAGGGGGAGUGAUUACUGUAGAAUCACUUCACCAUGAGGUGCGCUCUUUGAAGAAGAAAGUGGCAGAUCUUGCUAGAAAGGUGGAGAUGGGAAUGAAGAGAAUGAUGGAGAAAAUGGGAUGUAGGCAUGAUGAUAUUUUUCCUGCUCAGC
rnacentral:lncRNA from 1 species